AGAGUUUGAUCCUGGCUCAGAUUGAACGCUGGCGGCAUGCCUUACACAUGCAAGUCGAACGGUAACAGGUCUUCGGAUGCUGACGAGUGGCGAACGGGUGAGUAAUACAUCGGAACGUGCCCGAUCGUGGGGGAUAACGCAGCGAAAGCUGUGCUAAUACCGCAUACGAUCUACGGAUGAAAGCGGGGGAUCGCAAGACCUCGCGCGGACGGAGCGGCCGAUGGCAGAUUAGGUAGUUGGUGGGAUAAAAGCUUACCAAGCCGACGAUCUGUAGCUGGUCUGAGAGGACGACCAGCCACACUGGGACUGAGACACGGCCCAGACUCCUACGGGAGGCAGCAGUGGGGAAUUUUGGACAAUGGGGGAAACCCUGAUCCAGCCAUGCCGCGUGCAGGAUGAAGGCCUUCGGGUUGUAAACUGCUUUUGUACGGAACGAAAAGGUCCUUUCUAA
rnacentral:rRNA from 1 species